UACGAAUGGGGCAAGCGUUGUUCGGAAUCACUGGGCUUAAAGCGUGCGUAGGCGGCUAUGAAAGUCAGGAGUGAAAUCCCAGGGCUCAACCCUGGAAUUGCUUCUGAAACUCCAUAGCUAGAAUAUUGGAGAGGUUAGCAGAAUUCCGAGUGUAGAGGUGAAAUUCGCAGAUAUUCGGAGGAAUACCAAUGGCGAAGGCAGCUAACUGGACAAUUAUUGACGCUGAGGCACGAAAGCGUGGGGAGCAAACAGG
rnacentral:rRNA from 1 species